GAUGAACGCUAGCGGCAGGCCUAAUACAUGCAAGUCGAACGGCAGCAGGCUGUAGCAAUACAGUGCUGGCGAGUGGCGCACGGGUGCAUAACACGUAUGUAAUUUGCCCAUAACUGGGGGAUAGCCUUCCGAAAGGAAGAUUAAUACCCCAUAACCCAGCGAGGUGGCAUCACUUUUCUGGUAAAACUCCGGUGGUUAUGGAUAAGCAUGCGUCGAUUAGCUAGUUGGCGAGGUAACGGCUCACCAAGGCAACGAUCAGUAGGGGGUCUGAGAGGAUGAUCCCCCACACGGGUACUGAGACACGGACCCCGACUCCUACGGGAGGCAGCAGUAAGGAAUAUUGGACAAUGGAGGCAACUCUGAUCCAGCCAUGCCGCGUGAAGGAUGAAGGCGCUACGUCGUUGUAAACUUUCUUUUACUACUAGAAAAACUAUUUGGUUUCGUACCGAUCUGAUUGUACAGUAGGAAUAAGCAUCGGCUAACUAUGU
rnacentral:rRNA from 1 species